rnacentral:tRNA from 1 species
GUGAGUGUAGCUCAGUUGGUACGAGCAUCGGGUUGUGGCCCCGACGGCCGAGGGUUCAAGUCCCUUCACUCACC